rnacentral:rRNA from 1 species
CCUACGGGUGGCUGCAGUGAGGAAUAUUGGUCAAUGGGCGCGAGCCUGAACCAGCCAAGUCGCGUGAGGGAUGAAUGUUCUAUGGAUCGUAAACCUCUUUUAUAAGGGAAUAAAGUGUGGGACGUGUCCUUUUUUGUAUGUACCUUAUGAAUAAGGAUCGGCUAACUCCGUGCCAGCAGCCGCGGUAAUACGGAGGAUCCGAGCGUUAUCCGGAUUUAUUGGGUUUAAAGGGUGCGUAGGCGGUCUGUUAAGUCAGCGGUGAAAGUCUGUGGCUCAACCAUAGAAUUGCCGUUGAAACUGGUGGGCUUGAGUGUGUUUGAGGCAGGCGGAAUGCGUGGUGUAGCGGUGAAAUGCUUAGAUAUCACGCAGAACCCCGAUUGCGAAGGCAGCCUGCCAAGCCAUGACUGACGCUGAUGCACGAAAGCGUGGGGAUCAAACAGGAUUAGAUACCCCGGUAGUC